AGCAGCCGCGGUAAUUCCAGCUCCAAUAGCGUAUAUUAAAGUUGUUGCAGUUAAAAAGCUCGUAGUUGAACUUCAGGCCUGUCCAGAUGGUCCGCCUUAAUUGGUGUGUACUGUCCUUGGGUGGGUCCUACCUUCUGGCGAAGCGGCAUGGCCUUAAUUGGUUGUGUCGGGGAACCAGGACUUUUACUGUGAAAAAAUUAGAGUGUUCAAAGCAGGCAAAUAUGCUCGAAUACAUUAGCAUGGAAUAAUGGAAUAGGACGAUGGUUCUAUUUUGUUGGUUCUAGGACCGUUGUAAUGAUUAAUAGGGAUAGUUGGGGGCAUUAGUAUUCAAUUGUCAGAGGUGAAAUUCUUGGAUUUAUUGAAGACUAACUACUGCGAAAGCAUUUGCCAAGGAUGUUUUCAUUAAUCAAGAACGAAAGUUAGGGGAUCGAAGACGAUCAGAUACCGUCGUAGUCUUAACCAUAAACUAUGCCGACUAGGAAUCGGGCGAUGUUGACAAAAUGACUCGCUCGGCACCUCAUG
rnacentral:rRNA from 1 species